AUGAUGCAGUCUUCCUUCAAACCUCAGAGAUUCUACACAAGUGUUGGUAGAUGCCAGAUCCUGCUGACACAAUAUAAAUCUUCAAAAGAGAGGUUGUGCAGCACUGCAGUUUUACUGUUAGCUGGUUCCUUCCUUGCAACAAUGCAAGAAGAUCUGAAGAUGUACACCACUUUUUUUUUGGUUUGUUCAGCAGAGAUGGGGAGGCUAGAUUUUUGUAGAUUAUGCCCAGAAGAUAUUAUUUCAAGAGAUAUCUUCCUGCUUAACAUCACAGGAUAUUUCACGGAGCGAUUAUGUCGAUUCCUCGCCUUUUCGGCACAAUGUGUCCAUCAAAGCAACAACAUUUCACAUAUCAUCCAUUACACAAUCAAGCUCACAGGUCCAAUCCUUUUGCACGGUAUAAAUUAUUCCUUCUCAAUUCCAUUCUCAGUCUUGUUUUGCACACUCAGUCAGUCAGUACAGGGUUCAGUCAAUCGGGCCGGCAUGAAGAACGCAACAGAUAAAUAA
rnacentral:rRNA from 1 species